UACGUAGGGAGCAAGCGUUGUCCGGAAUCAUUGGGCGUAAAGCGCGCGUAGGCGGCCCUGUAAGUCCGCUGUGAAAGUCAAAGGCUCAACCUUUGAAAGCCGGUGGAUACUGCAGGGCUAGAGUCCGGAAGAGGCGAGUGGAAUUCACGGUGUAGCAGUGAAAUGCGUAGAUAUCGUGAGGAAGACCAGUGGCGAAGGCGGAUCUCUGGACAGUUCCUGACGCUGAGGUGCGAAAGCGUGGGGAGCAAACAGG
rnacentral:rRNA from 1 species